GACGAACGCUGGCGGCGUGCUUAACACAUGCAAGUCGAACGGAAAGGCCCUGCUUUUGUGGGGUGCUCGAGUGGCGAACGGGUGAGUAACACGUGAGUAACCUGCCCUUGACUUUGGGAUAACUUCAGGAAACUGGGGCUAAUACCGGAUAGGAGCUCCUGCUGCAUGGUGGGGGUUGGAAAGUUUCGGCGGUUGGGGAUGGACUCGCGGCUUAUCAGCUUGUUGGUGGGGUAGUGGCUUACCAAGGCUUUGACGGGUAGCCGGCCUGAGAGGGUGACCGGCCACAUUGGGACUGAGAUACGGCCAAGACUCCUACGGGAGGCAGCAGUGGGGAAUAUUGCAAAAUGGGCGGAAGCCUGAUGCAGCAACGCCGCGUGCGGGAUGACGGCCUUCGGGUUGUAAACCGCUUUCGCCUGUGACGAAGCGUGAGUGACGGUAAUGGGUAAAGAAGCACCGGCUAACUACGUG
rnacentral:rRNA from 1 species